rnacentral:tRNA from 1 species
GGGGACGUAGUGUAGUCUGGUUUAACACACUGCCCUGUCAAGGCAGAGAUCGCGGGUUCAACUCCCGUCGUCCCCG